rnacentral:rRNA from 1 species
AUUGAACGCUGGCGGCAGGCCUAACACAUGCAAGUCGAGCGAGCGGCGGACGGGUGAGUAAUGUAUGGGGACUGCCCGAUAGAGGGGGAUAACUACUGGAAACGGUGGCUAAUACCGCAUACUAGCGGAUAACCCAUAUGGGAUUAGCUAGUAGGUGGGGUAAAGGCUCACCUAGGCGACGAUCUCUAGCUGGUCUGAGAGGAUGAGCCGCCACACUGGGACUGAGACACGGCCCAGACUCCUACGGAGGCAGCAGUGGGGAAUAUGGCACAAUGGGCGCGAGCCUGAUGCAGCCAUGCCGCGUGUAUGAAGAAGGCCUUAGGGUUGUAAACUCCUUUCACCAUCGACGCGGUAGAUGGAGAAGAAGCACCGGCUAACUACGUGCCAGCAGCCGCGGUAAUUC